UUAGGCUGUUACCUAUAGCUGAUGAGCUUCAAAAUGAAUGAAACCACUUAAAAUAGGUCCUGUAGAACUAUCCUUAGGGCCA
rnacentral:hammerhead_ribozyme from 2 species